rnacentral:lncRNA from 1 species
UGUGUAUGAUACUAAUAUAAGGAUGUAAGUGUUCAUUAGAGAAUGAAUUCACUGAAUUGAUCCAAUUAAAGAAUAUUUGAUGGAGUCUUAUCUACAUGUCAACAGAUUUUUUCUUAUAGUGGGAAUUGUGCAUGUAAAUCUUUUGACCUGAGACUGCUGUAGAACCUUAUAAGCAUGAAUCCAUAUUUUGGAUCAUACUCAUUCAUGAUUUAAUCAUGUACGGGGUGUUCUGGAUAUGAGGGAUUGCUUAUGAAGGUUGUGAGUAGGUCAAUAUGGAAAUGAUCACUCCUAGUAAGAGGAGAUCGCAUCCUAUCUGCUUCAAUCAAAUAAUGAU